UACGUAGGGUGCAAGCGUUGUCCGGAAUUAUUGGGCGUAAAGAGCUCGUAGGCGGUUUGUUGCGUCGGCUGUGAAAUCCCGAGGCUCAACCUCGGGUCUGCAGUCGAUACGAGCAAACUAGAGUGUUGCAGGGGAGACUGGAAUUCCUGGUGUAGCGGUGAAAUGCGCAGAUAUCAGGAGGAACACCGGUGGCGAAGGCGGAUCUCUGGGCCUUACCUGACGCUGGAGGAGCGAAAGCGUGGGUAGCGAACAGG
rnacentral:rRNA from 1 species